rnacentral:lncRNA from 1 species
ACUAGUUAUUCUGUAAUAUUUAUAUUCAUUAUAUCAAAAUGGAUAUUAUAUUAGAUAUUUUUAAAGGAUAUCAGAUUUAUAUAAAUAUAUGAUUUAGUAUAUACCAAUGGGCCAUGGCAUAUAUAGCUAUGUACAAUAUACUAAUAUAUAUAUAUAUAUAUAGAUCCAACCAAGUACUUGUACUAACCAAAACAAGUAAUCAUAAAGUUGAUUGUAAAGCAAGUUUGAUAAUUUGUAUGUAAGUCCAUUACAUUUUGCAGAAUUAAACUUAUAUCUCAAGUAAAAAAAAAUCUUAUAAAUGAUUGAGUAGAAUAGAAAUACACGUUAUACAAUUGAUUUAAUCAAGCAAUACAUAGGUAUGCAUAAUGUAAAUAGGUAGAUUAUGCCAUUUUCAAUAAAACCCUACAAAAAUAUACUAUUUCAAAAUUUAAACUCAAGCUUAUAUUGUUUGUUUAAAGUGAGAAACAACACUUUAGCUUUGCCGAGUAAAACCUUUUUCCUGAGACUUUAGAUAAUAUUUAUCCAAGAAGGAAGUAUGAUGUCUCAAUAUAUUUUCCUUCAAUUCUCGAGAAUGGUUUACUCCAUGAGGAAAAGUUAUGGAUAUCAUAGAACAUAUACGUAGAGAUGAAAAUUGUGUAUAAUUUGAACAUGGUAUUAAAAAAGAAACGGAAAAUCAACAUGGCAAUCCUGACAAUUUGAAGAAUGGUUUGGAGGAGAACAACACUGUUAAGUGAUCUAUUGCAAUGUAUUUGGACGUCAAAAUGGGACCCUGAAAUAAAAGGACUUAAAACCUUACUGUCUAACACCAAUGUAUCCCUUUAAUGCCUAGUUUGAUUAUUUUCA